CAGUCGCCGCGGGAAUACGUAGGUGGCAAGCGUUGUCCGGAAUUAUUGGGCGUAAAGGGCCCGCAGGCGGGUUCUUAAGUCUGAUGUGAAAGCCCCCGGCUCAACCGGGGAGGGUCAUUGGAAACUGGGAAACUUGAGUGCAGAAGAGGAGAGUGGAAUUCCACGUGUAGCGGUGAAAUGCGUAGAGAUGUGGAGGAACACCAGUGGCGAAGGCGACUCUCUGGUCUGUAACUGACGCUGAGGAGCGAAAGCGUGGGGAGCGAACAGGAUUAGAGACCCCCGUAGUCCCUGUCUCUUAUAC
rnacentral:rRNA from 1 species